AUGAACACAACCAAACCAGAAAUAACAACCAAUAAUCCAUCCAUCAACUCUCUUAAGAACACCAUUACUGGAAAUAUAAGAAUGAGAAUCUAUAGUCUUUUUCUAAAUCAAAUUAAGGAUGAUUUCUUUGACCUGUGUCUGCGCAUAUCGACUUUCUUUGUUCUCAAGAUUGUCAAUUUUAAUGGAAAGCUUAAAAUUUUGUUGAUGACUAGAGAUAGUGUUGCUCCAAAAACCAAAAAUCCUUUGAGGAUUUUUAUCAAACACUAUGAGUGCAGUCUUAAAUCCCAAAUGAUAAAAGUAUAA